rfam:Gossypium raimondii Chr07_contig_1187, whole genome shotgun sequence.
UGUUAAAAACUUUAUCCAUUUUUACUAAUAAAUACUGACAUGACUGAUAGAAUAACCAAAUAGUUGCAUGUGGCAUGUACCACAUUCUAACGUACAAUGACAUAUUUUUAAUUGUAGAAAUGGAUGUAAUUUUUAGUA